GGGACGAGGGAGCGUGGGUGCUCCCGCACACCUGGGACACGGUUCUUCAAUGACGGGCGGGGGGGGUCGGGUCAGGGAACUCUACUUGGGUUUCCUGACCCAUUCGGCUGUUUUUAGACGACUCGCGCCAGGCAGCAGUGACAGCCGCCACUAUCAGCAAGAAUAUUCAGGCUGUAACUGCAACGCACCGUGUCUGCGACGGACUGACGGAAAUGUGUCAUUUCAAAUGCGACUCCGUUCUGACGUGGACAAAAGGCACCUGUGACUUUUCUUUUCUUUUACUUCUUAUGAGCAGAAGUAGCCCGAUGUUGUACUUGAUUACUGUUACUUGACAACAGUAUGACUCGAGGAAAUGUCAAAAGUUGUCAUCCAAAUAAUGACUUGCUAAAGAGCAAGUCCUCACUGACAAAACUAUUCAAGUACUGCGUAACUAGUGAGUCUCUUCGCAUUUAUUUAUUCCAUCAGAGCAUGAACGUCAAAUAAAAUAAGGGCAAAUUCAGAUAUCGCUGAACAAUAACACUUCAUCUCAAACAUAAGAACACAAUCAAAUAUUUGUAAAAUAAUGAGGCAAAUCCAACAAAGUUGGUUGUUUCUAAUUGGGCCAAUGAUACACUACUCGUGCACUCCCUGUAGUCGUCUCGCCACGCUGCGCCAUUUGCAUAUCUGCUGUUGACCGAUACUGGCAACAUUUGCACAAUCGACAUCGUCCCAGAUGAUCGCGCAACUCGUCACUUUAAACCGCCUGCACUCCUUCAAGUCUCCACGCUCCUUGCACCGGACUCUUGCAAUAUGAGUCAGUCAGUGCUAGAGGAGUCUGCCUCUUUUGCACAAUUGUCAAAAAAUCAAGAAAAAAUGUACCGGCAUUACCAGACAACUAUUAACCCUUCAUUGCUCAGCGACUGUUUUUCUGUCUCCAAAGCGUUCUCUGCCAAUCGACCGUCUGUGGUCGUACUCGAGCGGCUCCGACGACCGGAGACAAAUUCCUUGCGUGUUUUGGACAUACUUGGCAAAUAAAGAUGAUUGUGAUUGUGA